GGGGGGGAGGUGGCACUGGUGCAGAAUGCCGAGGGUGCAGCUGCUUAGAAUUGGCAGAUUUUGACUAAAUUGCGUUUGAAACAACUGUAUUAAAAUGAAGCAGUCUGCCGUUUUUCAAAACUUUAUAUGGUACUAUAAAAAAGCUGCACAGAAUCUCAAACCCCACUAAAAUAUUGUAAUGUUUGUUUGUUAUGUAUUUUUUAAAAGGAUGUAUCCUUAUUUGUGUGAGUGUUUUGUGUUAUCUACACAAUGUGUAGUUUAAAUGAUAAAUAAAUAAGUGAUGCACUUGUUUUUAUUUAACCCAACAAAACACAACAGCUACACCUUUCUGUGUAGUUUAUAGAAAAAUGAAAUGUCAAAAUUUGAUGUGGUGUUCUCCAUUAGUAAGCAAGCUUGUCUCUUGUGAGAAUGGAUGGGAAUGUGUGUGUCAUGCUGCCCCAUGCCCCAGCCACUCAUGAUACUGACUGCAGAGCAGGGUGGAUAAAAAUCAAUGAUAAAAAGAAAACAAUUUUAUUUUAUUUAAAUCAGAAAUGUUUGAUGGGUUUUUUCCUUCAAAAGGCAUUUUAUCUAGAGAGUUUAAAUUAAGAUCGAUACAUUAUAGCUCAACGAUAUCAUGAAAGAGGGAUUAUAUGUUCUGAUUCUAUAGUAGGAGACGAUAUAUUCAUGUCAUGUUUUGUAAAUGAGUUUUAAUAGUUCAUGGAUUAGGGACCCAAUUUGAUGGGGUUCCAGGGCCUUCCGUAUAGACUGAGGUUAAUCUUUCGAUCUACCCUGGGGGCUCGGUCUAGAAGAUAGAUACCCUCAGAGAUGCUUUGUUUUGAAGUUUUCAAACUGUGGCUUUGUGACUCCUGAGAUAGCAGCACAAGUAAUUAAUAUAUAGAGGGGAGAAAUAACAGACCUCAACUCUAUUGUCCCUCUGCAAAUUGGUGUAUACAGUGUCAAUCCCUUACCUGUCUGUAAAAGUGCAAAGUUUCCAAGAGUUCAAGGGGUGGAAUAGAUCUGGACAAGGAGUCUGGAGAUAAAUGUGAGAAGGGAGGGACAGGCAGUAGACAAAAAAGGUAAACUGUUUUGUUUGGGCAGCAUAUUCCAGAAGUGUUGAGGUCUUUCUGAGGGUAGCCUUCAGUGAUUUGUGAUCUACCCCACCAUUCUCCCACUAGAAGGGAAAAGCUAUAACGGUAGCAGGCAGUAAAAGAGAUCCAGUUUGGGAUUAUUUUAAUGAAGUUCCUCUACCUGUGGGUAAGAAAGAUGUGGGUGUGUGUGUGUGCAAAAUGCAAACGGUGCAACAAAGAAAUGCAAGGCCUGGUUGUCUGUCUGAAUGAAACGAUGUCAUGAGAAGUAUUUCUCCUCUGGUGGAAGCUGUGUUGAAGCUAAUGAAAGGAACAUGCAGGAUCUUCAGCUUGGUAAACUUUGUUUAUUUCAUACUUUUUUCUUAAGGAUGGUCUGUCUUCCUUCGGGACUAUUCUUGAAUUGUCAUGUGUGAGCACAAGAGAUUGGUAGUUGUUUCUCUAAAGGUGAAAUUGUCAAAGGAAGAUCUGUCUUGUUCAGCUAUGGAUUUUUUAUCUGAGUGUCAGUGCAUGUAAUGAGGAGCAUGAUGAUAACUAACUGCAGCGAUGUCUGGUGAGAAGAAUCUGUCCUCAACAUACAGGAUUCUGAAGCCUAUCCAUCCACCUUCAUGGUUACUGUCAUUUUGUAUAGUUUCAGCGUUGUCUGCCAGUGAUAGUGUUUCAGUCACUGUGCCCUUGUAUAUCCCAUGUAGUGAAAAGAAAAUGAACUCUCCAUCAGCCAGAAAGAGCUGUAGAAAUGUUUGUGCAAAGAAUCAGGAGAUCACAGAAAGAGGACAGAGGCCAAAGCACAAGCUGGGCUCCCUAGUGGAAGAGACAAUUCAAGGACUAGAGAAACACACAUCAAGCCUUUGUUGCAGGACAGAACAUGACAAUGCACCUGCAGACACAUAUCCUGACAUCUGUCCAGGACAACAUUCUGAGGAAGCCAAGCAGGCCACCCAGCAGGAACAGGAGGACCGUGAAGACACUUGGCAGCAUGUGACUUCCAAAAGACAACAGACGAGCAUCCAUGUACCAGCACUGCAGAUACAGAAAGUCACACAAGCACUUGGAUUCAGAGACCAUUGAAGUGAUGAUCUCACAUUUUAACAGCAGUAGCUUCUUCUGCAGGUACAGAAAGACUAUUCUCUUCCUUUGGACUAAUUCAUUCCAAAUUGAGAGAUCAGUUGGGACAUAGGAAAGCUUGUUUUUCUUUUCCAGAUUAUGAACAAAACAGGAAGAUGAAGACAGACAGCUGCGUUAGCUGCAGCAGCCAAUAUUGGAUUUAAUUUUUGUUUUAAAGAUUCAUUUAAAACUCUUUAAUUAAACAUUCAAGCUUGUUAAAAUUAUUUAA